CUGUUUUUGAAUCUGGGUUAAAAUCAUAUCGGAUACCUUAUAAAAUUCACUGAUCAUUUAAAAAAAAAAAAAAAAAAAAAAAAAACCCCCCGAAAACAUACAAUUUUGUUAAUUUUCAAAUGCAUUCUUUUGAGGUCAAGCCAUAUUUACUUUUAUCCCAAAUAUUAAAUUUAAGUGUCAUAUGCAAAGUUGCAAAUUCGCCGACCGUAGGGCUAUCAAAACUGAUGAUGUUUAAAAAUUGACUAAUGGAACAAAUUUAUCUUGAGAUGAAAUGAUGUUGUUCAAAAUUAAUAUAAUUUUUUUUUGCUGUUUCCUCUUGCUUUAUACGCAUUUUCCUGCACCUCUCUUUCAGAAUACACAUUAUUCUUAUUUGGUAUUAAGAUUCACCAAUUGAUAAAAUAACACCUAAUUGUAUGCCACGGCUAUCUUGCUAUUAUUGUAAUUUCGCUUUAUAUUCGAUUUUGACGAAUGAACCCUGUCAAGUUGGAAAAUGCAAAAGCAGUAUUCUACCGUUACCUCUCAGUAGUAAAAUGACCUUCCAUCGAUGAAAUUCUCUAACAUUCUCUUCGUAUUUAAAAAUGUAUGGAUCGUAUAUUCCUUGCUUAUCCACGAUUCAUGAACAAUUAAGAUUUGCUGAAUGGGUAACACAUAUUCUGCGUUACCUCGUAUAGUUCAUUGUUAAUCAAUGUUUAAACACUAAAUUUCCCAUCUCCCACUGUUAAUUGAAAAUAGGUUUUAUUCAAUAAAUUACCAUUUAAAAAGACAUGUUAUUUUAAGUUAUAUAUUUUAUGAACCUAAAGAUUGAAGUAAAGGCCUUCGGAGCCUUUAGUUCCCCUACUAUGUGCCUCUACUCGCUUCUUGGGGCUUAACUGUAAUGUAGUAUUGCCAAUUACACAAAAAAUUUAUAUUGUUCUUUAGCUUCUUAUAAUUCAUUUAAAUGAGAGGUAAAAAAUUCGAGAAGACAUUUCAGAAAACUACAGAAGUAUCCAUUUGUUUGAAAUUAACUGUCCUAAUGCAGAUGAAUCCUAUGUAAUAGAAAUAUUACAACCGUGGCUAUAAAAGAAGUUGAGAGUUAGUUAUACGUAAGAAUAUCUUUUAAAGAUUUCAAUCGACAUCUCACAUGAUUCAUCAGUAUUAAACGUAAAAGUUUACAUAUUAGUUG